UACGAAGGGGGCUAGCGUUGCUCGGAAUCACUGGGCGUAAAGCGCUCGCAGGUGGUCCGAUGCGUCGUGCGUGAAAGACCCCGGCUCAACUGGGGGGUGUCGUGCGAUACGGUCGGACUGGAGGCCAGUAGGGGGAUGCGGAAUUCCGGGUGUAGCGGUGGAAUGCGUAGAGAUCCGGAAGAACACCGGUGGCGAAGGCGGCCUGCUGGGCAGUUGCUGACACUGAGGCGCGACAGCGUGGGGAGCAAACAGG
rnacentral:rRNA from 1 species